rnacentral:rRNA from 1 species
UACGGAGGGAGCUAGCGUUGUUCGGAUAUACUGGGCGUAAAGCGCACGUAGGCGGCGCAGCAAGUCAGGGGUGAAAUCCCGGGGCUCAACCCCGGAACUGCCCUUGAAACUGCAGUGCUAGAAUCUUGGAGAGGCGAGUGGAAUUCCGAGUGUAGGGGUGAAAUUCGUAGAUAUUCGGAAGAACACCAGUGGCGAAGGCGACUGACUGGACAUGUAUUGACGCUGAGGUGCGAAAGCGUGGGGAGCAAACAGG